GCGCACACUUUGGCAGCACAUGUACUACAGUUGGAAGGAUACAGAGAUUAGCGUGGCCCCUGUGCAAGGGGACACAUAAAUUCCUGAAGCGAUCCACAUGAGA